UACGUAGGGGGCAAGCGUUGUCCGGAAUCAUUGGGCGUAAAGAGCGUGUAGGCGGUCCGGUCAGUCGGUUGUGAAAGUCAAGGGCUCAACCCUUGAAUGCCGGCCGAUACUGCCGGACUAGAGUACGGAAGAGGCGAGUGGAAUUCCUGGUGUAGCGGUGAAAUGCGCAGAUAUCAGGAGGAACACCAAUUGCGAAGGCAGCUCGCUGGGACGUUACUGACGCUGAGACGCGAAAGCGUGGGGAGCAAACAGG
rnacentral:rRNA from 1 species